AGCAACAAAGAAAGCAGGAAAGACCGGAUGAAGCGAUAGGGCGGUUCACAAGUAACAUGGUAGUUAUGCUGAUAAAUAAUAUAUCAGAUGGAGUGAAUGUAGAAUAAACAUGAUCCGGCAAAACAGUUGAAGAAAGCAGGAACGGUAGGACAAGAAAGCCCAGUGUUCGGAACGUAGCAAAAAACCGAACAGGUUGAACCAAUCAACACUUUACUCCUUAACCAAGAAGCCGUUAAGCAGAAGAAUCAACUAGCGAGAGGACACAGUACUUUGUUGCU
rnacentral:ncRNA from 1 species